rnacentral:rRNA from 1 species
UUGACCUCGGAUCAGGUAGGGAUACCCGCUGAACUUAAGCAUAUCAAUAAGCGGAGGAAAAGAAACCAACAGGGAUUGCCUCAGUAACGGCGAGUGAAGCGGCAAGAGCUCAAAUUUGAAAGCUGGCUCCUUCGGGGUCCGCAUUGUAAUUUGCAGAGGAUGCUUCGGGAGCGGUCCCCAUCUAAGUGCCCUGGAACGGGACGUCAUAGAGGGUGAGAAUCCCGUAUGGGAUGGGGUGUCCGCGCCCGUGUGAAGCUCCUUCGACGAGUCGAGUUGUUUGGGAAUGCAGCUCUAAAUGGGUGGUAAAUUUCAUCUAAAGCUAAAUAUUGGCCGGAGACCGAUAGCGCACAAGUAGAGUGAUCGAAAGAUGAAAAGCACUUUGAAAAGAGAGUUAAAAAGCACGUGAAAUUGUUGAAAGGGAAGCGCUUGCGACCAGACUCGCUCGUGGGGUUCAGCCGGCAUUCGUGCCGGUGUACUUCCCCGCGAGCGGGCCAGCGUCGGUUUGGGCGGUCGGUCAAAGGCCCUCGGAAGGUAACGCCCCCUCGGGGGCGUCUUAUAGCCGAGGGUGCAAUGCGACCUGCCUGGACCGAGGAACGCGCUUCGGCUCGGACGCUGGCAUAAUGGUCGUAAGCGACC